GACACUUGAAUGAAUAUCAACAUCAUUUACGUGUGUUGCUUGAGCCGUAUGAUGCGAAAGUAUCACGUACGGUUCUUAGAGGGGAAAGCCCCAGCAAUGGGGCUGACCUACUCGACUCGUCCGGAGAUCCGGACACUUCGAAGACCGCCGCGAGCUGGUUCGGGGCGUGUAUCUUCCUCAUUGUCGCAGCCACCAUUCUGAGAAGUUUCUUCCUCUAAGCCU
rnacentral:autocatalytically_spliced_intron from 1 species